CACGGGUAACUAGAUAAGGGAAAUCGCCAUGUUGGAAUACAGAGCAGUAUACGUUAAUGGAAAGCAUGCCCAAGGUUGUCCCAAUGAUGAACUUCAAAGUGAGGAUGUAGUACAUCUUAUACAUUCAGUACCGAUAUACCCGUAACAUUAAUAUCUUAAGCUUGUGAAGGAAAACACUUCAAAUAUCACAGUGGACAAAUUAAGGAGAAUGGAUAAACAAUAUGAUAACCCCACUCCUCUGUCUUAUACCUGCUCUGAUGUGCAUCCUGCACGCAGUACUGGUGGAAAUUUCCAAUGCUUUGAAGCCAUCAAACAGGAAAUUCAAAACGAUCUACAAGAAUUAGAGAAUAUUAUUUAUCCGAAAUUUCAAAAGGUUGCAUCAAACAUCCCAGUUCAAAAAGCUUACAUAAAUAAACACUCCCCGAAAUUGACUGAAGCUUUAAAAGUACAAAAAGAAUAUUGGCACAGAGAAAUAAACAAUAUAAUUAAAAAAAUGGAACUCGAAAUUGCAGAACAGGAAUCAAAACAAUUAGCACUGUUGGAAAAGCAUGAAGAUGAAAUCACCCAAAGAAUGUAUGAAGUUACAAAGAACAUCGACGCUUUGGGAAAAUUGCUAAAAACAGACGAUGAAUGCACUGUUUCAGCCUACAAAUCCAGGAAUGCUGAAUUUAGAAGAUUGCCUCCUAAACUCACAGUUUGCUUACCAAGUUUUCUCCCUCACGAAAUCAACAGGGAACAUCUUUAUCAACAGUUUGGUUCUCUUUCAGCAUUCCUAUAUUAAAGUAGAAGACCACAAGGAUAUAAAGAAUUCAUCUAACGUUGAGCAUAUUUCCCCAAACCGAAAACUAAUUGGUGAACCACAAAUUAUCAUGGAAAUAAACCAUGGAUAUGGAAACUCAAAGGUAUCACGUGUUGCAAGUGUGUCAUGUUUAAGUGAUGAAUUUAUUUGGAUAACUGGACAGGACAAAAUGAUAAGGUUAUAUAACUUACAAGGAGAAGUAAUCACGUCAAUUCAGACCAACUCAGCACACUCACUGCUCAGUUUAGCAUCGACAAAUUGUGGGGAUUUAGUUUACACUGAUACAACAACUGUAAACAUAGUGAAAAAUAAAAAGAUACAUGAGGUGAUUAGACUUCAACGAUGGUAUAUCAGCAACAUAUGUAGUACGUCCGUUGGUGACCUCUUAGUUAUCAUGAGCAAAGGGAAUGUACAAACAAAAGUUGUGCGUUACUCAGGCUCUGUAGAAAAGCAGGUAAUUCAAUUCAACGAGAAAGGUCAACCCCUCUACUCACGUGGUGGUCUAAAGGCCAUUAGUGAAAACAAAAACAAGGGCAUGUGUAGCCGAUUUCUGGGGAAGAGCAGUAGUAGUGGUCGAUCAUGCUGGACAAUUCCGUUUUACAUAUAAUGGUAAACAAUCUAUUAGCAGGGGAGCAAUUCGACCAGUCGGCAUCACAACAGACAGCCAGAGCCGGAUCCUUGCUGCGGGCAUGGUAAAUAACGGCAUCCACAUUUUAGAUCAGAACGGACAGUUCGUUGGCUUCAUAAGCAGCUGCAUUAUACAUUUUCCACAUGGUAUAUGUGUAGACAGCAGGGACAAUCUCUUUGUCGCUGAAAAAAAUGGUAAAGUGAAGAAAAUUAAAUUCUGUAUGUAGUGUUCCCAAUGGGAUUUUGUUUAUACAGUCUACAUCAUACCAAAUUAUUGUAUACAACUUGUGCAUACAUGUAUUUACUAAAUUUUCGUACUAUAUCCCCCAAAAUUGUUUAGUUGCGUAAAUCAUAGAAAUAAGUUCGAUAGUUACCUAAUUCAUAAGAGUUAAAUUCUAUGUACAUAAAGCAAAAUGACUAAUGAAUAAAUAUGUAAACUGGUUCAUUAAAGUUUAAAAAUUCA